CAAAGCCUCACCUCCGCCCACCACCGGGGCUUCCGGCGGUGGGCGGGGCUUCCGGCGACGGGCGGGGCUCCCGGGGCGGGGCCGGGUGAGCCCGUGUAGCCGACCUAGGACUUCAGGCCAUAGUUGUGAGUGGCACUGCCAGAGUUACCGUUGCUGCCUGUAGGGUGGGGAAAAUACAAGAUUUCCCGCAAAAGGUGAAUUUCAAAUGAACAGCAACUUACUUUUGGGAACUGGACACACAUCUUUAAAUCACCUCAAAACUAGUAAUUCUCUGGGAGAGUCAUUAGCAAAACCAGACAUAAUAUUCACCUGGAAAACAGACUUUGAUUCAUUUGAAAGGAUAAGCCUAAACAUUGGCUAAGAUUGCUGAAGUUCCCUGGGAAACAAACCCAAGAAAUGAGGGAAAUCAUUGGUACUGAUUACAGAAACUAGUGAUGAGAUUGCAGAUACCACAUGAUUCGGAGACACGAGGUUUAUGCUGAGCAUUGAGAGAUCACCCCAGUGUGGCAUUUUAGAAAGUCCUUGGAGUAAAUGGUACAGUGGUUCUAAUAAUAACAGAAGUUACCGAGGCUGCUGUAAAGCACUGGUGUCAUCUGCCAUAAGGAUGAGUCGUCCGGACUGAGAAGCAAUGAAACGAAGAGUUUGGGAUAAACAAGCAUGAUAGUCUGGGGGAUCGGGCGAGGGCUGGCCCUCCAGAUGGCAAAGAUCCCCAGGCUGUUAGCUACAUCCAUUCUUAUCUUCCUGAGCAGAAACAGGGUUGAUGCCGUGUGCUUCCGUUCCAACAUGGUGCAGAUGCAGCUGCUCUGCACGUACCUUGGAGCAGUGGUUCUCAACCUGUGGGUUGCAAAAAAUAAUUUUAUGCCUGGGGGUCACCACACAUGAGGACCUGUAUUAAAGGGUCGCUGCUCAGAGGAUAGCAGAG
rnacentral:lncRNA from 1 species